GAUGAACGCUGGCGGCGUGCUUAACACAUGCAAGUCGAACGAACGACUUAUUAACAGAACCUUUCGGGGCGAAGAUGAUAGAAGUUAGUGGCGGACGGGUGCGUAACGCGUGGGUAAUCUGCCUUUGUCAAAGGAAUAACUAUUCGAAAGAAUAGCUAAAACCGUAUAACAUAUUAAUAGGGCAUCCUAAUAAUAUCAAAACGAUAGUGGACAAAGAUGAGCCCGCGUCUGAUUAGCUAGUUGGUGAGAUAAAAGCCCACCAAGGCAACGAUCAGUAGCCGACCUGAGAGGGUGAACGGCCACAUUGGAACUGAGACACGGUCCAAACUCCUACGGGAGGCAGCAGUGGGGAAUAUUGCACAAUGGGGGGAACCCUGAUGCAGCAACGCCGCGUGAGUGAAGAAGGCAUUCGUGUCGUAAAACUCUGUAGUAGGGGAAGAAAGAAAUGCAGUCCCUAAAGAAAGCCGGCUACUAC
rnacentral:rRNA from 1 species